rnacentral:rRNA from 1 species
CGCGUAGGCGGCUUGGCAAGUCUGGUGUGAAAUCCCACAGCUCAACUGUGGAACUGCAUCAGAAACUGCCUGGCUAGAGUGCGGGAGAGGAGAGUGGAAUUCCCAGUGUAGAGGUGAAAUUCGUAGAUACUGGGAGGAACACCGGUGGCGAAGGCGGCUCUCUGGACCGCAACUGACGCUGAGGCGCGAAAGCUAGGGGAGCGAACG